rnacentral:lncRNA from 1 species
CAUCCUUAUUCUCAAUUUAAUCCUAACUAAAUUCACUUACUUUCCUAAUUCAAUUCACACUCUAUUUCUAUUCAAAUUUCAUCCAAACUAAAAUUUAACUAUCAAAAUUUCAGCAUAUUUUGGUAAUUUCGAAUUUCCCUCAAUUUAGUCCCUAAAACAUAAAACUUAUAGUUUCUUUUACAAUUUAAUCCCUUUUUCAAUUCUAACUUAAAAUUCCUUCAAGUUAAUCCCUAAUUCAUCUCUUUUGUUCAACAUAAACUAUACUUAAAAACCUAUGAACUUACAAAAUAUCAACUUAAUUCCAUCAAAACUUUGUUUUAAAGCUUUUAAAACAUUAGAAUUAAGAGAAAAGGGCUAAUUUGACUUACCAAUUUAAAUUUCUAUCAAAUACAUCCCUAAUUUAACAAUUUAUUCAACAUGAACCAUGCUUAAUAAUCUACUAACUUCCAAAAUUUCAACUUAAAUCAAGUAGUAUUUUAUUCUAGGAUUUCAAAAAAAAUAUCAAAAUUAAGAGAAAAUGGGAUUAAAUUGACUUACCAAAUUACUUUGAACCUUAAAACCCCAAAUUUCCCUUUUUCUUUUCUUUUCUUUCUUUCUUUCCUUCCUUCCUUCUCUGUUUCGUUUUGCUCUCUGUUUCUUUCUUUCUCCCUUCUCUGUUUUGUUUUUAAUAAUAAUCAUUACUUACAUAUAUAUAAUAUAUAUUAACUAGAAUAUCUCAGAUAUUUCUUUCAUUAUGCCGCCUCAACUUUAGAAAAAGGCAUAAUUACCUAUUUGGUCCUUUAACUUUUCUUUAAUCUAUAAUUAAACUUUUAUCCCUAUUGCAAUUUAAUCCUUUUUCAUAAUUAACUAUCGAAACAUUAAAAUUCCUUAACGAAACUUUAAUAUUAUCCUAUUGACACUUCGUAAAUAUUUAUAAAAAUAUUUACGGCUCAGUUUAUAAUAUCGAGGUCUCGAUACCUCAUUUUCGACCCAAUUUACCUAAUAAUUUCUUUUAAAUCACAAAAUUCACUAAUUCAAAAAUAUUUCUAAAAUCACACUUAACUUAUAAUUAUUAAUUAAUAAAUUUUUCUAACUUUUCCAUCAAUUUUAGUGAUCUCAAAUCACUAUUCUGACACUACUAAAAAUUGGGCUGUUACAACUCUUCCCCCCUAAAAAAAAAUUUCGUCCUCGAAAUUUCUCACCUGAUACAGGCUAUUAAGUCAAAUCUUUCUUCCACCCUUUCAAUCGAAGUCCAUAAAAAUUAAUCAUAACUCAUAUCACUUCCGAAAUCAUAUCAGAACUCAUUUUAGAACUUGAUACUAUGCCUGAACUUAACUGAGUAACUCUGAUGUUCUCUUGCCAUCACUUUUUCACUAGUAGUAUGACUACUAAGAAAUUUCCAGUAAUUGUCUGUCGAAACAUAACUGAGAAACUCGAAUUAUCUUAUUUAAUACCUUUAAACGAAGACCUUGGAAACCCAUCCAGCGAGAAGAAAACAGAUAAUUUAAACCCAUUGUGGAGACCCAAAAUAUAUUGAUUCCAUCACUGAUGAUUACUCAACUUUUCACUGAAUAACCCACUCUGAUUAGAACUGAGUCGAUUUUUAUCUUUCAGAUAAUAACAUUCUAGAAUAAUCCAUUCUUCUUGUUGUCAAAACAAUUUAGAUAUAUCAUAUAUCAUAAUCCUCUCAGAACACCAACCGAAAAUUACCACAAAUAGCAUUUAACUCAACCGAAUUUUGACAUUCCAUUAUUGACUUGUUGACAUAAUUCAGAAUUACCUGAGAAAUGAAAACCAAAACACAAGUUUGAGCUCAAUCUUCCUCCAUCUAUACUUUUGCCGAUGUCAACCCUUUCACGAAAACUAGAAAGGAAUUAUAUAUAAUAAAAAUAUUUCAAUCAUUAACAUCGAAGCUUUGAACUAUACCGAAGCCACAACCAUCAAAUAGAUUAAAAACUAUAAAGCUAUACUAGGACCGACGUUCCAACUAUAUAGAUAGAACAAUACCUCAACAUCAAUAGUGCACUCCAAAAUAGAUGAAGAAAACCGAAGUAGUCCCAAUAACAACCAGUGCAGUAAUACAACUUCUAUAAUCUGAAAUCCAUAUCACCGGGUUCCCAUGAUCAAACCAAGAUUUAUAACAGUAAUAAAUAUAAUUACCUCUGGCCAACGAAUAUCUUGUACGGAUGAACCAUGGUUAAUAAAUAAGAUUAGACCAUAAGAAUAAUAAGAAAACCGAGAUAAUAGAAUCCAAGAUGUGAAGCUAUACUAAAUUUUCGAGAAGAAAAACCACAUUGAAUGAUAAAGAGAUCGAUGAUAUCCCAGAGAAAAUCCAAAAGAAUAUCCCAGAGAAAAUCCAAAAGAAGAAUAUCACUUGUACGUACUAGGAAUAGUUGUGAUAAAGACAAUAUAAAUUCCAUAUAUAUAAUUCGGAGCUUCAACCAGUAGAAAUAGAAAAUAGCUUCAUAUGAGUCUUAUCAUCAAAUCUUCCAUCGAACUUAAUAGAUUAGAAAACCAAAGAAAGAUAGAGGAAUCCCGAUCAUGAAUCAACCAGACUAAUAAUAAUUUCGUCUAACAAUACGAUUAGCCAACCUUGCUAUAUGAUAAAAAUCAUAUCUGAAAAUAAAUAAUUGCAUAUACCUCUGAGGAUAAAAGAGCAUAUAGAAUACCCAUAUAGAAUACCCAGAAGAGAUCAUUGUAAAAUACUCGACUAUAACAACUGCAUUCAGAUAUGGUUGCAAUUUUCAACACAAUCCCACUGAUUACUAAAGUCAUCAAUAAUCUCGCAUUAUCCCAAUCAUUAAAGAAAUCAAUUCAGAAGAAAUUCCGAUUAACCUGCUCUUUAAAUUUUAUACCUGAGUAAGUCGAUUACUCGUGAAUAGCUUCUUCCUUAAUAGCGACAUUGCAAAUCCCAAUAAUCAUUUAAAAAAAAUCUAAUAUCCUUUUUAGAACUCUCUUUACUUGCUAUCCCAUCCACAAUUCUGACUGCAUUAUUAUUCCUUCAAUUAUUGAACUCUUCAAUUUCACACUUGUAAACUUAAUGAAUACAAUUCUUGUAAAUUCCAUUGUUCAGGUGAGGGGGUGAAGGUCGUAAAGCCUCAAAAUUUGACUCUUAUAUAUAUUCUUAUAUAUAUAUACACAUAACAUGACUUUUAUCGUCAAUAUAUUCAUUACAAACAUUCAUUUCAUACCUUAUAAAUCUUUACUCAUAUAGGCAACUCCCCUUUCUCUAUCAAAUACUCAAAUAUCACUUUCAUCACUGUCGGAACUAGAUCAAUUGGAGACAUUUUUGUCUAUUAGUAAAACAUUUCUCAUUUAUCAAGGUUACUCUUUUAAAUGUAUAAAUGUAUAUUUUCAUCCUUAUCUAUAAGGAUUACUAUUUUAAAUCUCCAUACAGAACUAAAUAACAUUUACUUAUUCACAACUUUAAAUUAUUUAUUACAAAUACAUACUUCUUUAUUCACAACUUUGUAACUUAUUUUUCCUUUAUAAUCAUUCAUCAUUGAAUCAAAGAUAAUCUUUUAUCUUGUAACAUUUUUUUUUAGCAGAGGCCCAGUAGACGAAACAGAAUACUUAGGAUAUACGGGACUGUACAGAGAGCACAAAUGUGCUAAACGGAGAGCACUAACGUGCUAGUGAUCAGAGAGCGUGCUAAUAUUCAGAGAGCACUGAUGUGCUAAUAAUCAGAGAGCACGCUAAACUCCCUUAAUAUCCUAAUAGUUCUAACCUCGUCUACUUGGGCAAAUUAUUUCAUUCAUGCAUGCAUAUCACUUUUACACUUUUCGCACAAUACUUUUACAUGCUUUACAAUUUAAUUCUUGUACCAAUAAUUUGUGCAUUUAUAUCUUCUCUAUCUUUAGCACAUGUAAUAUAUUUCAAAAUUUACUAUUCAUCCAUAAAUCCUUAAUAAUCCUUAUCAUCUACUUCAUAUAUUACUUUUGUAUUAUUAUUUUUUUAUAAUUUAGUUAUCAAUUCAAUAGUUCGUAUAGCACUAUAAUUUAUUUUUCAAUGAAACAUAUAACGCAAUAUUCAUCAUCAUAUUCAUUCGACAUUUUCAACUCUAAAACAUAAGCAAAUAUAUCAGCAUCCAAAUCUCGACUCAAUUCGACACAAUUAUGGCAUGUACCUCUAAACUCAAUUCUGAGCUCGAUUUAGUCCGAGAAUCGACUAAACCUGCAAAGCUCUGAUACCACCAAUUGUAACACCUCCUAACCCCAAACUGUUACCAGAACGAGGUUAUGAGGCAUUACCGGACGUAUCGAACGAUUUACAACAAUUCUUAAAUAAAUAACCAAUAUAUUAAAAUAAUUCAUAAAAUUUAUUAGUUUGUUUACCAAAUGACUUCAUUUUUUUUUUUAAUAAAAAUUUCGGCAGCAUUUCUGCUUACUUUUACAUAAAAUCCUCUGCAAAUUAAAACCAUAUAGUUCCCAAAUAUCAUCAAUUCAACCAAUUCAUUUCACAUUCACAUUUUAUAUUCUAAAUACUUCUAAUCAAACUCAAUCUACACAAUAUCAAUUUAAAAUUUAACAAUGUACUAAUUAGAUAAAAUAGAUAGACUUCUUUCAUUAAAAUCCAUAAACUUUUAAUACUAACAUUUUUAACCAUUAUAUAAUAAAACAUAUAACCUUUAUACACAAUCUAUGUACAUGCCACCUUUACCAAAGGAAAAAUACAUCACCAAGUUUUGCCGAAGCCGGGAUUAAUCUGGAUGCUGAACCGGGACCUUUGACUUCUAUUGACCUGCGCACGGAAACAACCGUACGCUGAGUAAUUCAUACUCAGUGGUAUUACCAUAAUUCAAAUUAUAACAAUAAUGUACAUGUAAAGCAUAAAUCGUAUAUACAAUUUAAAUUAAAUAUUUCAACAAUAGCAAUUCAUCAACCAAUAUCGUAUAUCCACAAUUUGAGUUUGAAUAAUUCACGAACCUUAGGUUCAUUUCUCAAUCUCAUUUCACAUUUCAAUUCACAAUUCAACUUUUUCAUAUCAUUUCAAUAGCUCGUUUGACCAACUCGUUCGGUUUAUCAUUUCAUCAUUUACCCUAUUAACAAAACUCGGACUUUGGCGGAUACACGGAUCCAACCAAACACACCAGAAUGGCACCCAGUGCCUCAUCGGAUAGUUCGAAGCAAUAGUUGACACCCAGUGUCUCAUCGGCAAAGCCGAAGAAAGUUGGUACCCAGUACCUCAUCGAAUCUAUCCGAAGAAAUAUAGUGACACCCAGUGUCUCAUCGACUCGAGGUCGAAGUAUCCCUGAACUCUUCCAAUCCUAUGGCAUGCCAACUAUAUCCGACUCAGCCCGACUAGUUAAUAGGGUAUUUAAAUCACAUAUAUUCUCAAUUCAAUCACACUUUUUCACACUUUCAAUUCAAUCAUUUUUCCACCUUUCAAUCAAUAAUUAAUCCGCAAUUAACAUACUUUCACAACUCAAUACAUUUCCAUUCAAUUUAAUAUCGGUCAUUAUUCGAUUUAAAUUCAUUUCCCGCUUUCAAUCAACAAACAAUUCAAAUAUUAUUUCAUAUCAACUAUUCAAUUUAAUUCCCACUCAUAAUAAUAAUACUAAUAAUAAUAUUAAUACUAAUAUUAAUACUUACCUCACAUUUCAUUUACUAGACACAUAAAUUAAAAUUUAACAUAAAAAAAAUAAAUAAUUUGAAUUAUAGUAAUACAAACCGUAAUUUUCUCGAGUUUACUCCUCGAUAAUCUUCUCUUUUCCCUUCCGUGCCGACGCUUCUGGUUCUUUGCUAGCUACGAAAAUGAUAAUAAUUUAUACUAUUAAUUUCAGCACUAAUUAUGAUAAUAAUUAAAUUUCUAUUCAAUUUCUUCCUUAUUCUCAAUUUAAUCCUAACUAAAUUCACUUACUUUCCUAAUUCAAUUCACACUCUAUUUCUAUUCAAAUUUCAUCCAAACUAAAAUUUAACUAUCAAAAUUUCAGCAUAUUUUGGUAAUUUCGAAUUUCCCUCAAUUUAGUCCCUAAAACAUAAAACUUAUAGUUUCUUUUACAAUUUAAUCCCUUUUUCAAUUCUAACUUAAAAUUCCUUCAAGUUAAUCCCUAAUUCAUCUCUUUUGUUCAACAUAAACUAUACUUAAAAACCUAUGAACUUACAAAAUAUCAACUUAAUUCCAUCAAAACUUUGUUUUAAAGCUUUUAAAACAUUAGAAUUAAGAGAAAAGGGCUAAUUUGACUUACCAAU